rnacentral:rRNA from 1 species
CCAAUAGCGUAUAUUAAAGUUGUUGCAGUUAAAAAGCUCGUAGUUGAGUUUCGGGGUUAGUAGGUUGGUCAUGCCUCUGGUAUGUACUGGUCUCACUGAUUCCUCCUUCCUGAUGAGCCGUAAUGCCAUUAAUUUGGUGUUGCGGGGAAUUUGGACUGUUACUUUGAAAAAAUUAGAGUGUUUAAAGCAAGCUAACGCUUGAAUACAUUAGCAUGGAAUAAUGAAAUAGGACGUUCGAUCCUAUUUUGUUGGUUUCUAGGAUUGACGUAAUGAUUAAUAGGGAUAGUUGGGGGCAUUAGUAUUCAAUUGUCAGAGGUGAAAUUCUUGGAUUUAUUGAAGACUAACUACUGCGAAAGCAUUUGCCAAGGAUGUUUUCAUUAAUCAAGAACGAAAGUUAGGGGAUCGAAGACGAUCAGAUACCGUCGUAGUCUUAACCAUAAACUAUGCCGACUAGGGAUCGGAUGAUGUUAAUUUUUUAAUGACUCAUUCGGCGCCUUACG